rnacentral:rRNA from 1 species
CACGUAGGGCGCAAGCGUUGUCCGGAAUUACUGGGCGUAAAGCGCACGUAGGCGGUCUUUUAAGUCGGGGGUGAAAUCCUGGAGCUCAACUCCAGAACUGCCUUCGAUACUGGAAGACUUGAGUCCGGGAGAGGUGAGUGGAACUGCGAGUGUAGAGGUGAAAUUCGUAGAUAUUCGCAAGAACACCAGUGGCGAAGGCGGCUCACUGGCCCGGUACUGACGCUGAGGUGCGAAAGCGUGGGGAGCAAACAGG